UUCUUUCAAAUGUUUGCUAUUUGCGUUUUAAACUCUCCCGGCUAUUCGAAGUGUUUUAUUGCUAAAAAUAUAUGGAUUUUAGAUAACUUCAAGACACGUACAGGUAGAGUUUCCACCCGUCUCGUAAAGUAACGUUAGUCGAUCGUCCCGUAUUUAUGAAUGAAAUUAUGUCGUGUUUCAAAUCGAUACUGUACACUAUUUGUCCCAUUAUUUCAACAUGUUUGACGUUCAGAUCAUUCAAGUGGACCCUGCCAGCAUUAUAAAUUUCUUCAGAUCACAUACAUCUCCAUCUCCUACAACAACCUUUAGUGUCCAACAGCUGUUUAUCAACAGCUCUCUCUCUCUCUCUCUCUCUCUCUCUCUGUCAGCUUUUCCUUGCCUAUUUCUCUGAACUGUUAUUCAUAAUUAAUUUACACAUUUUUGCUCUCUUUCUUCCUUUCUCUUUUUCAUCAUGACAUAUUUUCAAAGCUCAGAAUCGAAUUUUGAUCGGUUAUGUCAAAAAGCUGCUAAUAUUAACAGCUAAAAAGGAAGACCAAAGGAAGGCCUGCCGAACUCUUGUCUUGUCUUGUUUGUGGAGAGGGAUGAAUUUGGCCAUCUUGUGUGUUUAUGGAGAAGACCAAAAGCUGCAAAGGCAAACAUUUCCAAUGGUAAAAACAGAGAGUUCGCAUGAUGGCCUUUUUCAGUUUUGUCAACUGAACAGCUGCUAGUGAAGGUCAGCGAGUUCUUGUCAUGAUGAGCCCUCGCCAGCCAAAAUGGAAGACCAAAAACACAAAGAAAAUCAAUCACAGCAAGCCAGUCAAACCAGUCCUGUUGGGAAUGAACAUGGUCUUCUUGUGCCCAAACAGAGAAGACUGAGAACUGAAAAUUUGCACAUUUCCAUUGCUCCUAGAAUGAGCAAAUCAGCUGUGCAUCAUCUCUGGAAUUUGGGAAGGAAAUGACCGAAUAUGGAGGAUGAUCCCAGUUGAUGAAGAUAUCAAUUCAGUGGCCACCAAGUGCUGCACUGCUGCCUGAACCCAUCAGAUAUCUGCUGUGAAGACUGCAUUCACGAACAUCUCUACUGCGACAGCUCAGAUGUUACGGCCCAUAAAAGAAACUUACCAACUGAACAACUGCAAGAUAGUGGUAGCCCAUAGUGAUAGCCCAUACCUCCAACAACAUUCAACAGGAAUCAAUGGAAAGUCCAGUGCAACAAUUAUAAAUAAUAUUAUAUAUUGUUUAUUGAUUUACAGCACCCUAAAUGAUUUUGUUCCUCCAGGACAUCUACACCAGGUGGUUUGUGAAGAAAGCACGGAGGACCAUCAGACUCCAGCCACCCCAACCAUGGACUGCUUUCACCGUUACCAUCAACAAUACCCGCACCAGCAGACUGCGAGACAAGUUCUUUCCACAAGCAAUCAGACUGAACUGAACUCGUACCAUUAACACCACACACACCCCACCAACCUCUCAUGUACUGCACUCUAUCACUUACACUGACUGGACUCUGACUCACUAUUAUUCUGCACCCUGACAAUCUGUUUGCACCAAUUCAUACUGUACUGCACUGCAAAGGUAUAUGUGUACUGUGAUUGUUUAUUAUUGUUUUCAUUUCAUGCUCUCUGUAUAGUAUAAUAUUUACCAUAUGUUGUUCUCUACAUGUAUUGUGUGUGUGUGUAUAUAUAUAUAUAUAUAUAUAUAUAUAUAUAUACAUAUAUAUAGUUUUAACUACAUAUGUUGAAUAUAUAUUCAAUAUGUGUCAUCCAUAAUGUCAUGCUGCAGUUUGCACAGAAGACUUUCAAAACCUGUACGUGUUCAUGGUAUAGUGACAAU